rnacentral:rRNA from 1 species
GAGCUCGUAGGUGGUUUGUCGCGUUGUUCGUGAAAACUCACAGCUUAACUGUGGGCGUGCGGGCGAUACGGGCAGACUAGAGUACUGCAGGGGAGACUGGAAUUCCUGGUGUAGCGGUGGAAUGCGCAGAUAUCAGGAGGAACACCGGUGGCGAAGGCGGGUCUCUGGGCAGUAACUGACGCUGAGGAGCGAAAGCGUGGGGAGCGAACAGGAUUAGAUACCCUGGUAGUCCACGCCGUAAACGGUGGGUACUAGGUGUGGGUUUCCUUCCUUGGGAUCCGUGCCGUAGCUAACGCAUUAAGUACCCCGCCUGGGGAGUACGGCCGCAAGGCUAAAACUCAAAGAAAUUGACGGGGGCCCGCACAAGCGGCGGAGCAUGUGGAUUAAUUCGAUGCAACGCGAAGAACCUUACCUGGGUUUGACAUGCACAGGACGCCGGCAGAGAUGUCGGUUCCCUUGUGGCCUGUGUGCAGGUGGUGCAUGGCUGUCGUCAGCUCGUGUCGUGAGAUGUUGGGUUAAGUCCCGCAACGAGCGCAACCCUUGUCUCAUGUUGCCAGCACGUAAUGGUGGGGACUCGUGAGAGACUGCCGGGGUCAACUCGGAGGAAGGUGGGGAUGACGUCAAGUCAUCAUGCCCCUUAUGUCCAGGGCUUCACACAUGCUACAAUGGCCGGUACAAAGGGCUGCGAUGCCGUGAGGUGGAGCGAAUCCUUUCAAAGCCGGUCUCAGUUCGGAUCGGGGUCUGCAACUCGACCCCGUGAAGUCGGAGUCGCUAGUAAUCGCAGAUCAGCAACGCUGCGGUGAAUACGUUCCCGGGCCUUGUACACACCGCCCGUCACGUCAUGAAAGUCGGUAACACCCGAAGCC